rnacentral:rRNA from 1 species
GUAACGCGUGGGGAACCUGCCUCAUACAGGGGGAUAACAGUUGGAAACGACUGUUAAUACCGCAUAAGACCACAGAGUCGCAUGACUCAGGGGUAAAACUCCGGUGGUAUGAGAUGGACCCGCGUUCGAUUAGCCAGUUGGCGGGGUAACGGCCCACCAAAGCGACGAUCGAUAGCCGAUUUGAGAGAAUGACCGGCCACAUUGGGACUGAGACACGGCCCAAACUCCUACGGGAGGCAGCAGUGGGGAAUAUUGCACAAUGGGGGGAACCCUGAUGCAGCGACGCCGCGUGAGUGAAGAAGUAUUUCGGUAUGUAAAGCUCUAUCAGCAGGGAAGAAGAUGACGGUACCUGAGUAAGAAGCCCCGGCUAACUACGUGCCAGCAGCCGCGGUAAUACGUAGGGGGCAAGCGUUAUCCGGAUUUACUGGGUGUAAAGGGAGCGCAGACGGCUAUGCAAGUCUGAAGUGAAAGCCCGGGGCUCAACCCCGGGACUGCUUUGGAAACUGUGUAGCUAGAGUGUCGGAGAGGUAAGCAGAAUUCCCAGUGUAGUGGUGAAAUGCGUAGAUAUUGGGAAGAAUAC